rnacentral:lncRNA from 1 species
CGCGUUUUCGGUCAUCGAUCACCUGGAAGCUUUGACAAUGCUUGCGAGAUGUCCAUUUUUGGUACAACAGAAAUUAAUCAUUGAACCAUUCCACUAAUUUCCAACAUCACCACCAGUAUUAUUAAUUGUUAUGUAUGUACAUCAAUGAAAGAAUAGAAAUAGAAGAAGAAGAAGAAGAAUGUCUUCCAAUGUUACACUGCCACCGCGUGAUAUAAUAGACACACACAAAACUAUACUAAACAAAAACAAUGAUGCUGUUGCAGCGACCUGACGGAUCGAGAGCUACGCGCUUGAUCGCCGACGGAAGCAGCACCGCAGCGACGGGAGGGAGCGAUGGAUCUGCAACAAGACGGGCAAAGCGAGCAGAUCAUGACCGAGUCGAGUCGUGUGAAAAAACUAGCUAGGAAGGAAGAAACAAACCAACAAAAUACCCCUAAAAAAGACCCAACAUAAUAAGUGGAGCAAAAUUAAGGCUGGGGCACUAUCUGUAGUCAAACAAAGUGAACAAGAGCUUUGUGGAAAUCGGUCCAUUUCAGGGGAGAACUUGAAUAAAUUACAGCAGGGAGUGUCCAUGCAUGAUCAAGAAGAACCAUAGAGCAAGGAUAAGUUCAGGGAUGGAUGGCCACCUACCUGCAGGAAGGGAGACAGCGAGGAGCGUCAGAUGCCGGGCCGGAAGGAUCCGACGAGGUCCCCUGUCCGGAAGGCGCGCGCGACGGCGGUGGCGCCGGCGAGGCAGGACGACACCCACACCACCAGGACCUCCCACACCAUGUCCACGACGGACACGGUCAUCGCCCACGGCAUUGACAUCGCGCGCCUGCCUCUCUCUGCUCUCCUCUCCCCUGCCACAACCAAGAAGAAGAAGAAGAAGAAGAAGAAGAAGAAGAAGAAGAAGAAGAAGAAGAAGAAGAAGAAGGUUCAACGAUCCAACAGCUUCCGUGCAUGGACCAGCAAGCCAGGCGGCGACUAAAACUGAAUUAAAACCGAGACGAGCACACGCAAGAUAUCCAUGACAGGCCAAAGUGCCCGUAAGUGUAGCAUUUUUGUAUCCCUGAUCCGGGGGAAAAGACUGGAUCCUGUGCGCACGUCACGGGCAGGCGGGCAGCUGCGCCCUGUUGCCGGGAUGAGACGGAAUUCAAUGGAGAAAACGACCUAGUUAAUGAAUUCUCUCGCUGUCGCCUCACCGGCCUUCACGAGGGAGAGGGGAGAACACGUACGCGCGCUCCAUCGAGCCCAUGACGACACCGACCAGAAGCCGAUUUAGCGCAUCGUAAUCCAGAUUUG